UCGGCCGUGGUGCGCGGCGCACACCCGCUUCUGAUUGCCAUGUCGCCACGACGUAGAGUGGGAACGCUGGGUUCGAUUCCCAUCGGCCGAA